GGGGGAGGUUGCUUCGGUAACUGACCUAGCGGCGGACGGGUGAGUAAUGCUUAGGAAUCUGCCUAUUAGUGGGGGACAACAUUCCGAAAGGAAUGCUAAUACCGCAUACGCCCUACGGGGGAAAGCAGGGGAUCUUCGGACCUUGCGCUAAUAGAUGAGCCUAAGUCGGAUUAGCUAGUUGGUGGGGUAAAGGCCUACCAAGGCGACGAUCUGUAGCGGGUCUGAGAGGAUGAUCCGCCACACUGGGACUGAGACACGGCCCAGACUCCUACGGGAGGCAGCAGUGGGGAAUAUUGGACAAUGGGCGCAAGCCUGAUCCAGCCAUGCCGCGUGUGUGAAGAAGGCCUUUUGGUUGUAAAGCACUUUAAGCGAGGAGGAGGCUCCUUUAGUUAUACCUAAAGAGAGUGGACGUUACUCGCAGAAUAAGCACCGGCUAACUCUGUGCCAGCAGCCGCGGUAAUACAGAAGGUGCGAGCGUUAAUCGGAUUUACUGGGCGUAAAGCGUGCGUAGGCGGCUUUUUAAGUCGGAUGUGAAAUCUCUGAGCUUAACUUAGGAAUUGCAUUCGAUACUGGAAAGCUAGAGUAUGGGAGAGGAUGGUAGAAUUCCAGGUGUAGCGGUGAAAUGCGUAUAGAUCUGGAGGAAUACCGAUGGCGAAUGCAGCCAUCUGGACUAAUACUGACGCUUAGGUACGAAAGCAUGGGGAGCGAACAGGAUUAGAUACCCUGGUAGUCCAUGCCGUAGACGAUGUCUACUAUCCGUUGGGGACUUUGAUGCUUUAGUGGCGCAUCUAACGCGAUAAGUAGACCGCCUGCGGAGUACGGUCUGCAGACUAAAUCUCAUAUGACUUGAUCGGG
rnacentral:rRNA from 1 species